CCUACGGGAGGCUGCAGUGGGGAAUAUUGGACAAUGGGGGCAACCCUGAUCCAGCCAUGCCGCGUGUGUGAAGAAGGCCCUCGGGUUGUAAAGCACUUUCAGUGAGGAAGAACGCCUGGUGGUUAAUACCCAUCAGGAAAGACAUCACUCACAGAAGAAGCACCGGCUAACUCCGUGCCAGCAGCCGCGGUAAUACGGAGGGUGCGAGCGUUAAUCGGAAUUACUGGGCGUAAAGCGCGCGUAGGUGGCUUGAUAAGCCGGUUGUGAAAGCCCCGGGCUCAACCUGGGAACGGCAUCCGGAACUGUCAAGCUAGAGUGCAGGAGAGGAAGGUAGAAUUCCCGGUGUAGCGGUGAAAUGCGUAGAGAUCGGGAGGAAUACCAGUGGCGAAGGCGGCCUUCUGGACUUACACUGACACUGAGGUGCGAAAGCGUGGGUAGCAAACAGGAUUAGAUACCCUGGUAGUC
rnacentral:rRNA from 1 species